rnacentral:lncRNA from 1 species
UUCCUUGCUCAGCACUUUGCAAUAAAAUUCCUACUUUCUUCCACUACACCCAGAGUCAGAGAUUGGCUUGCUGCGCAAAAGAGGCAGAGCUUACUUUUUCAUGGUUUAUUUACCUGGAAACAGGCCACUUUACACGUGGAUGAUACUAUAUACCUGGAUCAUCAUAUUUACAAAGUCCGCUAGGUGAUUGAUGCUAAAGAUGGAGAAACUUCAGAGACGUGCUGCCCACAUCCUAGGAGAUGAAACCUCCAUGGCUUUAUAAUAAGAGAGAAAUGAAGAGUGGUGCAGUGUACUGAGGACAACAGUUAGGUGGAAAUUUUCACUAAUGAGAAAUUGAUUGAAAAAGCAGCAGAGAGCCAGUUAAACAGGAAGAUUAGCCCUGAAGUCACAUCCACUGCCAAUUCUUCUCCUUUUGCUGAGGAAGAUUGGCCUCAGCCAACAUCUGUGCCCAUCUUCCUCUACUUUAUAUGUGGGAUGCCUGCCACAGCAUGGCUUGUUAAGCAGUGUGUAGGUCCGUGCCCGGGAUCCAAACCUGUGGACCCUGGGCCGCUGAAGCAGAGCGCAUGAACUUAACAACCUCGCCACUGGGCUGGCCCCUGCUUUGUACUUUUAACAAUAUACACAAAUUAUAUCAUACUGUUGAUUUACUUUUGCAUUCUGUCUUUUAAAUCAGUAUUAUAUUUUAGUAUUUGUCCAGAUGAAUACCAAUCAUUUAUUCAUUUCAACUACCCUGUACAUUGUUCUAUUGAAUAAAAUAAAUACUUAUGUAUUCUGUUAUUGAUGGACAUUUAGGUGAUUUCCAAUUUUCCCUGUAAGAUAC